rnacentral:rRNA from 1 species
AAUAGAUACCCAGGUAGUCCACGCCGUAAACGAUGAGUGCUAAGUGUUAGGGGGUUUCCGCCCCUUAGUGCUGCAGCUAACGCAUUAAGCACUCCGCCUGGGGAGUACGGUCGCAAGACUGAAACUCAAAGGAAUUGACGGGGGCCCGCACAAGCGGUGGAGCAUGUGGUUUAAUUCGAAGCAACGCGAAGAACCUUACCAGGUCUUGACAUCCCAUUGGCCACUAUGGAGACAUAGUUUUCCCUUCGGGGACAACGGUGACAGGUGGUGCAUGGUUGUCGUCAGCUCGUGUCGUGAGAUGUUGGGUUAAGUCCCGCAACGAGCGCAACCCUUGUUCUUAGUUGCCAUCAUUUAGUUGGGCACUCUAAGGAGACUGCCGGUGACAAACCGGAGGAAGGUGGGGAUGACGUCAAAUCAUCAUGCCCCUUAUGACCUGGGCUACACACGUGCUACAAUGGACGGUACAAACGGUUGCCAACCCGCGAGGGGGAGCUAAUCCGAUAAAACCGUUCUCAGUUCGGAUUGUAGGCUGCAACUCGCCUACAUGAACG